AUUGAACGCUGGCGGCAGGCCUAACACAUGCAAGUCGAACGAGUGGCGGACGGGUGAGUAAUGUCUGGGAAACUGCCCGAUGGAGGGGGAUAACUACUGGAAACGGUAGCUAAUACCGCAUACCAUCGGAUGUGCCCAGAUGGGAUGAGCUUGUAGGUGAGGUAACGGCUCACCUAGGCGACGAUCCCUAACUGUUCUGAGAGGAUAACCGGCGACACUGGGAAUGAGACACGGUCCAGACUCCUGCGUGAGGCAGCAGGGGGGAAUAUUGAAGAGUGGGAGCAAGCCUGAUGCAGCCAUGCGGCGUGUAUGAAGGAGGCCUUCGGGUGGUAAAAUACUUUCAGCGGGGAGGCAGUACCCGCAGAAGAAGCACCGGCUAACUCCGUGCCAGCAGCCGCGGUAAUUC
rnacentral:rRNA from 1 species